AGUGAACGCUGGCGGUAGGCCUAACACAUGCAAGUCGAACGGCAGCACAGUAAGAGCUUGCUCUUACGGGUGGCGAGUGGCGGACGGGUGAGGAAUACAUCGGAAUCUACUUUUUCGUGGGGGAUAACGUAGGGAAACUUACGCUAAUACCGCAUACGACCUACGGGUGAAAGCAGGGGAUCUUCGGACCUUGCGCGCUUGUAUGAGCCGAUGUCGGAUUAGCUAGUUGGCGGGGUAAAGGCCCACCAAGGCGACGAUCCGUAGCUGGUCUGAGAGGAUGAUCAGCCACACUGGAACUGAGACACGGUCCAGACUCCUACGGGAGGCAGCAGUGGGGAAUAUUGGACAAUGGGCGCAAGCCUGAUCCAGCCAUACCGCGUGGGUGAAGAAGGCCUUCGGGUUGUAAAGCCCUUUUGUUGGGAAAGAAAAGCAGCAGGUUAAUACCCCGCUGUUCUGACGGUACCCAAAGAAUAAGCACCGGCUAACUUCGUG
rnacentral:rRNA from 1 species